AAAUUGUAAAUAACUAGAUCUAGAGUAGUAUUAGUUAAGAUCUUGAAACUCAAAAAAUUUGGCGGUAUUUUAGUCUAUUUAGAGGAACCUGUAGUAUAAUCGAUAAUCCACGAUGGACCUCACUUAAUUUUGUUUUUCAGUUUGUAUACCGCUGUUAUUUGAAAAUUUUAUAAGAAUAUUAAUUUUCAUAAUUUUUUAUUAAAAAGUAAAUCAGGUCAAGGUGCAGCUUAUGAUUAAGUAUUUAUGGGUUACAAUAAAUUUAUUUAUAUGAAUUAAAGCAUGAAAGUUGUUUUUUGAAAGCGGAUUUAAUAGUAAAUUUUUAAAGAUAAAAAAAUUGAUU
rnacentral:rRNA from 1 species